rnacentral:misc_RNA from 1 species
CCGAGUUUACAACUCCCAAACCCCUGUGAACAUACCACUUGUUGCCUCGGCGGAUCAGCCCGCUCCCGGUAAUAAUAAACGGGACGGCCCGCCAGGGGACCCCUAAACUCUGUUUCUAUAUGUAACUUCUGAGGUAAAAACCAUAAAAUAAAUCA